GACGAACGCUGGCGGCGUGCUUAACACAUGCAAGUCGAACGGAAAGGCCCUGCCUUUGUGGGGUGCUCGAGUGGCGAACGGGUGAGUAACACGUGAGUAACCUGCCCUUGACUUUGGGAUAACUUCAGGAAACUGGGGCUAAUACCGGAUAGGUGCUCCUGCUGCAUGGUGGGGGUUGGAAAGUUGCGGCGGCCGGGGAUGGAUUCGCGGCUUAGCAGCUUGUUUGUGGGGUAGUGGCUUACCAAGGCUUUGACGGGUAGCCGGCCUGAGAGGGUGACCGGCCACAUUCGGACUUAGAUACGGCCCAGACUCCUACGGGAGGCAGCAGUGGGGAAUCUUGCACAAUCGGCGGCAGCCUGAUGCCGCAACUCCGCGUGCGGGAUGACGGCCUUCGGGUUGUAGACCGCUUUCGCCUGUGACGAAGCGUGCGUUACGGUAAUGGGUACAGAAGCACCGGCUAAAUACGUGC
rnacentral:rRNA from 1 species